CGUAGGGGGCAAGCGUUGUCCGGAUUUAUUGGGCGUAAAGAGCGUGUAGGCGGCCAGGUAGGUCGGUUGUGAAAACUCGAGGCUCAACCUCGAGAUGUCGACCGAAACCAUCUGGCUAGAGUCCGGAAGAGGAGAAUGGAAUUCCCGGUGUAGCGGUGAAAUGCGCAGAUAUCGGGAAGAACACCCGUGGCGAAGGCGGUUCUCUGGGACGGUACUGACGCUGAGACGCGAAAGCGUGGGGAGCGAACAGGAUUAGAUACCCUGGUAGUCCACGCCGUAAACGAUGGGAACUAGGUGUGGGCGGUGUCGACUCCGUCCGUGCCGAAGCUAACGCAUUAAGUUCCCCGCCUGGGGAGUACGGCCGCAAGGCUA
rnacentral:rRNA from 1 species